GGUGAACGCUGGCGAUGUGCCUAAGACAUGCAAGUCGAACGAGAUCUUCGGGUCUAGUGGCGCACGGGUGCGUAACGCGUGGAAAUCUGCCCUUUGGUUCGGAAUAACAGUUGGAAACGACUGCUAAUACCGGAUGAUGACGAAAGUCCAAAGAUUUAUCGCCAGAGGAUGAGCCCGCGUAGGAUUAGCUAGUUGGUGUGGUAAAGGCGCACCAAGGCGACGAUCCUUAGCUGGUCUGAGAGGAUGAUCAGCCACACUGGGACUGAGACACGGCCCAGAAUCCUACGGGAGGCAGCAGUGGGGAAUAUUGGACAAUGGGCGAAAGCCUGAUCCAGCAAUGCCGCGUGAGUGAUGAAGGCCUUAGGGUUGUAAAGCUCUUUUACCCGGGAUGGUAAUGACAGUACCGGGAGAAUAAGCUCCGGCUAACUCCGUGCCAGCCGCCGCGGUAA
rnacentral:rRNA from 1 species